AGAGACCGGCGCACGGGUGCGUAACGCGUAUGCAACCUACCUUAAUCAGGGGGAUAGCCCGGAGAAAUCCGGAUUAACACCGCAUAACAUUAUUGGAUGGCAUCAUUCGGUAAUCAAAUAUUUAUAGGAUUAAGAUGGGCAUGCGUGACAUUAGUUAGUUGGUGAGGUAACGGCUCACCAAGACUUCGAUGUCUAGGGGAUCUGAGAGGAUGACCCCCCACACUGGUACUGAGACACGGACCAGACUCCUACGGGAGGCAGCAGUAAGGAAUAUUGGUCAAUGGGCGCAAGCCUGAACCAGCCAUGCCGCGUGCAGGAAGACGGCCCUACGGGUUGUAAACUGCUUUUGUACCGGAAUAAACCUGCUCUCGUGAGAGCAGCUGAACGUACGGUAAGAAUAAGGAUCGGCUAACUCCGUGCCAGCAGCCGCGGUAAUACGGAGGAUCCAAGCGUUAUCCGGAUUUAUUGGGUUUAAAGGGUGCGUAGGCGGCUUUUUAAGUCAGGGGUGAAAACUUGCGGCUCAACCGUAAGCUUGCCUUUGAUA
rnacentral:rRNA from 1 species